rnacentral:lncRNA from 1 species
AUGCCAAGAAGACAGGAUAAGACAGAUGGAGGGAAAACUGGAUGUUUUUUAUCACUUUCUUCAGUGCUGCAGCCUGGUGCCAUGGAUGUGGUGUCAACCCAGGGACAUGGGGAGGUGCAUCGACUUUGCCUUAAUGAGUCCUCACUGCAUGCCAAUGCUCUAUGGCUCAGAGACCUGCCUUCAACCCAGUCAAGAGUGCCUCCCCCUCAAUAUCUGCUGCUCACGUUGUCAGCAUCCCCCACCGAUAUGCUCUCAGCCACCGUCCAGGAUGUUACCGCUGAUCCCUCCCCCAGAGGUCUACAGAAGUACUUUAUCUCUCCCGCCCCCAUAGCUCAACAUCUAAAGAACUUAAAACUGAAAAUUAGGAGCCCCUUUUGUACCAAAUUAGACAUAUAUAUAUAUAUAUAUAUAUAUAUAUAUAUAUAUAAUACAAUAUAUAUCUUGUGUUUUGGAUUACAGUCAAAAGGAGCUGGAAUUAGUUUCUGAUCAGCAGGAGAGUUUCUUGCCUGGGGAGCACUGCUCCUCUGUAUGAGACGCAACUGUACUCAUCUACCAGGACAAGGCACCCUGGUGUCCUGUGGAUGUAGACGUGAUGAGUCCCAUUCCCACAAGACAGACCUCCAUCUGUCACCAAGCGUUGAGAUGCAUGGGGUGUUAGACGAAAUAUGCUCUUUCAAGAAAGCCCCAAAUAUCUGAUAUAUGGAAAUAGUCUGGUGUCCAUUACUCACUUGCUGUUACUUAAUCUCCUGGGUGAGUUACGUAAUCUCCCUGUACUUCAGUUUCCUUACUGAAAAGAUGUGGAUAAUGGUGUCUCUUCUAAAAAGAGGGCGACAGUAACUGCUGCAACAUGCUCAGCACAAGGCCAGGUCACUUGUAAAGACUCAGGGGCCAGGUCUUUAAGGUCUUCUCUGCUUCACCAGGGAAGGAGACAGUGAUGAGCUCAGAGACAUCAGCAAGUGUGUGGUGAGUGAAAAGAUGUUAGAAAAAAUCAUCACUGGAACUUUAAGCACUGGAUACCAUGACAAAGGGUUGGCAUACAUGAGAAUUCUCUGAAAACUGUUAACCACAGGAAGUUAACAUCAAAGGCUACCACCCAUGUAAUCUCCAAGAUACCAUCAGAAAAGGUCCUUCCACCACUAUGUCCUUGACAAACAUGAGUUCCCUUCGUGUACCUUAAUUUUUCUCAUAGAGUUAAUUCCUAGUUUCCAAUUUCCUAUCAGCUCCUCUGAUUUUUCCUAUCAGCUCCCAAUUUUCCAGGUCCCUUCUGAAGAAGCCUUUGAAGACAUAAUCAGGUUUCUUUGCACACUUAUAUGCUAGAGGACUAUCAGUAGACAAAAAUUCAUUGUGAAGAUCACACAACAUGUUUAUGAAGAUGAAUCAAUACCCUGGACCAAAGAGUCCCAGAUGAGUAGAAGUGGCUACUACCUCAAAUGUGUACAUACCAGUGCGACAAACAAGGGACCAUUAAGAAUCAAGUAAACAUGAGAAGAUGAAAAGAAGUGAAUAAAAUUCCCUAAAGAAAUAGAGAUCUAUGAACUCUCUUAUAAAGAAUUCAGUCCUCUUCAAGCAGUUUAGUGAAACGCAAGAAACGUGGACAGACAACUACAUGAAAUUCAGGGGGAAGAUGCACCAACGAAAUGAGAAGCUCAACAAAGAAAACAAUCAAAAGAACGACUGAAAACGAGAGCUGAAAAAUAAAACACUGCGUUGAAGAAUAGAAUAAAGUAUUUCAGCAACAAACUCAAGCAAGCAGAAGAAAGAAUCAGUGAACUAAAAGGUAGAUCAUUGGAAAUUAUCCUGCCACAGGAGUGAAAAGAAAAAAAAUUAUUAAAAAGUGACAACACACGCUGGGACAUUAUCAGUAGAAAAAAUAGUGAAUUAUGGAAGUCCCAUAUGAGAAGAGAGAGAGAGAAAAGAAAGUAUAUUGGAAACAAAAUGGUUGAAAACUUACCAAACAUGGAAUGAGAAAUACAUCUAGAUUCACGAGGCCCAAAGAAUCCCAAAUAGCUUGAGCCUGCAAUGGUUACAGGAAAUCACAUUGUGAGUAAAUAGUCUAUGGUCAAAGACACAAGCAAUUUUUUUUUUUUCUCUCUAAUUUUAUUUUAUUUUUAAACUUUACAUAAUUGUAUUAGUUUUGCCAAAUAUCAAAAUGAAUCCGCCACAGGUAUACAUGUGUUCCCAUCCCGAACCUCCUCCCUCCUCCCUCCC